rnacentral:lncRNA from 1 species
UUCACAUUUUCUGUAUUUAUUUAUGCUUUGGGCUUAAAAGGGUCAGUGGCCUAAUUUAACAUUCGAUUUUUGUUUUUACACAGCAAAGACUUAUUGCAGGAAUACUGUAUGUUUGGCUCAAAGCUAGGUCCUGGAAACAAUCUGAAAAAAAUCCUCUACAUCCUGAGAUGUCUGCUGUCUAAAUCUUGGGGCUUGCAGAGUGGGUUCACUCUUCCGCUCUUCUGCCAUGUGAGGAUGCAGUAAGAUGACCCUCAGCAGAUGCUGGUGCCUUGAUCUUGGACUUCCCAGUCUCCAGAACUGGGAUGAAAUGCUGUGAUGGGUUGCACGCCCACAUCACCACUCUGCUGUCGGGAGAAGAGGAAGGCACGUUCCUCCCAAACACAGGGACUGAAAGCAGUUCUGAAGGCUGAAGUCCAAGACCAGGGUGGCAGCAUGGUCAGGUCCUGGCGAGGGCCAUUUUCCGAUGAGAAAACUGAAGCUCAGAGACAGAAAACGAGGUCUUCAGACUCCAGGUCCAGAGUGUCAUCCCCCACCAGAGUCUUUGCAGGUGCUUUAAAGUUAAGGAUCUCAAGAUGAGACCAUUCUGGAAUAUCCAGGUGGAUCCUAAAUCCAAUGACAAGUGUCCCUGUAAGAGACUGAAGAGGAGAGGACACGCUUCUCUGCCUCCGUGGGAGAAGAGGAGAAGGCCCGGCAAAGACGGAGGCAGAGGUUGGAACUCUGCAGUCACAAGCCAGGGAACAUGGAAGCCACCAGGAGCUGGAAGAGUCAAGGAAGUGUCCUCCCCUGAAGCCUCUAGAGGGAGCGAAGCCCUGUAGACAUUGGCUCAUUUUUGGUAUUUUCUUUCUUUCUUUUUUUUUUUUUUUUUGGUAAAGAUGGGGCUUCACCAGGCUGGUCUCGAACUCCUGAUUUCUGACUUCCAGUUCCCAAACCUGUGGGAGAACACAUUUAUGUUGUCUCUAGCCACCAAGUGCAUGGAAUUUGUUAUGACAGUUACAGGGAAGUAACACGGGAAUUUUAUUUUAAACCCUACAUUUGGCAAAAAAAAAAAAAAAAAAAAAUGG